GUGUCCGCGUCUAGCAGGCUUGUAUGGGUUGCAUUUCGAUCCUCCGGUGGCUCCUCCUUUGGAGGUGUCGGCGGUGCUUUCGGUGUAGCUCGUCUAGCGAUGGGACGGCGCAUGAGUGGUGAUUAGGAUAUGUUUCCCAUGCAGGCUCCAUGUGUUUGGCAUCGAACUGCUUGGGUCUAUCUAUUUCAUUUGUGGGUUCGCCUCGGCGUUUUCAUGGUCGGUCGCGACUACUUGUUGGGUUCCUGUGCUUGGUACUGAAUUUUGUAGUUGGAUGGAUUGCUGUUCCCCGUCAUAUGGUUUUUUCUCCCCCUCCGCUUCGCGCGGCGUCGGUGGAUAUUGUGCGGGCAUCGAGGUUUCCCUUUCGGGCCGUCGUCCCCUUUUGGGUGCUUCCGGUUGAAAUGGCACGUAGAUGCUAACGGCACUCUCGGGUACGGAGAUUUUGUGGUUAUCGCAUUGGUCUUCGGCCUUUGUGAUCGUAACGUAUCGAAGCUUUCUUGCUUCUGAAUGUAUGACCCUCGUGCUCGUCUAAGUGAUCACGGAGCGUCUCUGCUUGGUGUUCUUCUUGGGGAGCCAUCGAGGUCUACAAAGGAAUGCUACCUGGUUGAUCCUGCCAGUAGUCAUAUGCUUGUCUAA
rnacentral:misc_RNA from 1 species